AUUGAACGCUGGCGGCAGGCCUAACACAUGCAAGUCGAGCGAGCGGCGGACGGGUGAGUAAUGUAUGGGGACUGCCCGAUAGAGGGGGAUAACUACUGGAAACGGUAGCUAAUACCGCAUACUAUCGGAUAACCCAUAUGGGAUUAGCUAGUAGGUGAGGUAAUGGCUCACCUAGGCGACGAUCCCUAGCUGGUCUGAGAGGAUGAUCAGCGACACUGGGACAGAGAAACGGCCCAGACGCGUGCGGAGGCAGAAGUGGAGAAUAUUGCACAAUGGGCGAAAGCCUGAUGCAGCCAUGCCGCGUGUAUGAGGAAGGCCCUAGGGUUGUAAAGUACGUUCAGUCGGGAGGCGUUAACGACAGAAAAAGCACCGGCUAACUCCGUGCCAGCCGCCGCGGUAAUAC
rnacentral:rRNA from 1 species